UUUCACUAAUGAUCUCCUGUUUGUGCUGCUGUCUGGGUCAUAGAAGCCCUGUGAUGGAACCUCUGAGCUAGGGAG